GACGAACCGUACGAACGUUAUUCGGAAUCACUGGGCUUAAAGGGUGCGUAGGCGGCGCGACAAGUUGGGUGUGAAAUCCCUCGGCUCAACCGAGGAACUGCGCCCAAAACUGUCGUGCUCGAGGGAGACAGAGGUGAGCGGAACUUAGGGUGGAGCGGUGAAAUGCGUUGAUAUCCUAAGGAACACCGGUGGCGAAGGCGGGUCUCUGGGCCGAUAUUGACGCUGAGGAGCGAAAGCGUGGGGAGCAAACAGG
rnacentral:rRNA from 1 species